rnacentral:piRNA from 1 species
CUCUUCGUGGGAGAUUCUGCCGCGUG